rnacentral:rRNA from 1 species
UACGAAGGGAGCAAGCGUUAUUCGGAUUUACUGGGCGUAAAGAGCGUGCAGGCGGUUGAUUAAGUUGGUUGUUAAAUUCCCUGGCUUAACUAGGGAUUCGCAAUCAAUACUGAUCGACUAGAGGGCAAGAGAGAGAAGUGGAAUUCUCGGAGUAGCGGUAAAUGCAUAGAUCUCGAGAGGAACACCAGUUGCGAAGGCGGCUUCUUGGCUUGUCCCUGACGCUGAAGCGCGAAAGCGUGGGGAGCAAACAGGAUUAGAUACCCCCGUA